GCUGGGUGUGGUGGUGCACACCUGUAAUCCCAGCAAGUUGGAGGCCUGAGGCAGAAUUACAAAUUCUAGACCAGCCUGGGCAUCUUAGUAAAAUCCUGUCUCAAA
rnacentral:sRNA from 1 species